rnacentral:rRNA from 1 species
AGCAGCCGCGGUAAUUCCAGCUCCAAUAGCGUAUAUUAAAGUUGUUGCAGUUAAAAAGCUCGUAGUUGAAUUUCGGGGUUAGUAGGUUGGUCAUGCCUCUGGUAUGUACUGGUCUCACUGAUUCCUCCUUCCUGAUGAACCUUAAUGCCAUUAAUUUGGUGUUUUGGGGAAUUUGGACUGUUACUUUGAAAAAAUUAGAGUGUUUAAAGCAAGCUAACGCUUGAAUACAUUAACAUGGAAUAAUGAAAUAGGACGUUCGAUCCUAUUUUGUUGGUUUCUAGGAUUGACGUAAUGAUUAAUAGGGAUAGUUGGGGGCAUUAGUAUUCAAUUGUCAGAGGUGAAAUUCUUGGAUUUAUUGAAGACUAACUACUGCGAAAGCAUUUGCCAAGGAUGUUUUCAUUAAUCAAGAACGAAAGUUAGGGGAUCGAAGACGAUCAGAUACCGUCGUAGUCUUAACCAUAAACUAUGCCGACUAGGGAUCGGAUGAUGUUAAUUUUUUAAUGACUCA